rfam:Pelodiscus sinensis unplaced genomic scaffold scaffold124, whole genome shotgun sequence.
UAAAAGGGGUCUGUGAGAAAUGUUCAUCUAGUGAAACCACAGCUAAGGGAACAGCUUGGCAGAAUUGUUGAGGAAAGAUGACCCUGUUCAGCUUGAUGCUUUUCUGGAAGUGGGAAGCAACAUGACAGAGUAGAAUAAAUGAGAGGCCCCCAGGCUGCCAGUGAAAUACCCCUUUUAUUUUCUUAUACAGCCAGUGAGCUGGGGCAAGUCUUGAGAGAUUUUCAUUUCUGACUGCCAGUGUCCAACACAGGCAGGGUGUGACUCUAGCCCAGGGCUACUCAACAUUGAAAGCUCCGGGGGCCACAAUGGUACUCACAGCACAUGCCGAGGGCUACAACGUAAGUGUGCUUGCAUAUACAUGCAAAUGUAUAUGCGAAUAUAUGCAAAUAGCUUUUCACACUGACAGGCAUAAUACAAAGAUUAAGGCAAGACCACACAACACACAGGCCCUAUUUAAGUCAGUUCUGUUGAUAUUAAUAAAAUGCAAUAUUUACCCAAUUUCCACACCUAUGCCAACACUUCUCAUGAGCAAUGCCAGUCCAGGAAUUUAACUAACAACAUGCUUAUCAACAGAAUACCAUUAUAUUGACUACUUUUGUGUUUUGGCUCCCAUCCACAGGCUGUGUGUUGAGCCCCGUGUAAACCCAAACUGUACAACAGGAUAGAAACGGGCCACAUGCAGCCCACAUGUUGAGUAGCUCUGCUCUAGCCAUUGUCAGAUGGGGUGUUUGACUAGUCAGUAUACAUCAAACCAUGACACAGGUGUUCAAGGGCAAGCACAAGGAGAACAGAAACCUCCCAUGGAGCAAAAGCUGUUAACCUUGAUUUUCAGCAUGAAUACAGACUGAUUAUGGGGCCAUAGAUCCCUUCUGACAUCUAGGUUUUAAGCAGGUGUCAAAAAGUUACAAGAAUAAGUGGCAUGUGGCAGCUAAGCAUUCACAGUGAUGUCACUUUUUGACCAUUUGAGAGGUUUUUCCUAUCCAUGCAAAGCAGAAGUCACCAGUGAGUGGAUUAUUCACCCCACUAAUAGGGAAGGUGAGCUGGGUUUAGAUAGUUAUGAGCAGGGCUCAACAAAGUAUUGAAUCUAUUUGCCCAUGGCAAGUAGAUUUCAGCUGGGUGUCCCAUUCAUUUGCAGCAUGCACAUGCGCAAUGUGGGUCUUGCGCAUGUGUAGUACAGGGCUAGCGAGAGGCUUUCACCGCUGUUCGUCAAGUGCUGGUUAUGAGACAUUUUAUUAUGCUGGUGUGUUGUUGCAAUAGUAAAUUGGCUCAGGAUCCGAGGAACCACUGCUUCAGUCUUUGUAGAUGCUUGGAUAAACAGCACAGGGGAAGGAAAGGGGGAACUGCCAUAUUUGUGGUUGACUGACUGCUUUUAAUCAGAGUCCCUCCCGCAACAUAACAAUGGGGGGGGGGGAGGGGAGAGGAGAAGCAGUCCUAUCUAAUUUUACCUCCAGUGACCUGGAGACCCAUGUUGUAAGUAUUCAUUUCCUAUAACUUGACAGCUGAGCUUCCUAAAAUGCAGAACAAGGAAAUCUCUCACGUGGUACGUGAACGUAU